AAACCAACAGGGAUUGCCCCAGUAACGGCGAGUGAAGCGGCAACAGCUCAAAUUUGAAAUCUGGCCCCCAGGGCCCGAGUUGUAAUUUGCAGAGGAUGCUUUGGGCGAGGUGCCUUCCGAGUUCCCUGGAACGGGACGCCAUAGAGGGUGAGAGCCCCGUCUGGUCGGACACCGAGCCUGUGUAAAGCUCCUUCGACGAGUCGAGUAGUUUGGGAAUGCUGCUCAAAAUGGGAGGUAUAUGUCUUCUAAAGCUAAAUAUUGGCCAGAGACCGAUAGCGCACAAGUAGAGUGAUCGAAAGAUGAAAAGCACUUUGAAAAGAGGGUUAAAAAGUACGUGAAAUUGUUGAAAGGGAAGCGCCUAUGACCAGACUUGGGCCCGGUGAAUCAUCCAGCGUUCUCGCUGGUGCACUUUGCCGGGCACAGGCCAGCAUCAGUUUGGCGCGGGGGACAAAGGCUUCGGGAAUGUAGCUCCCUCGGGAGUGUUAUAGCCCGCUGCGCAAUACCCUGCGCCGGACUGAGGUACGCGCAUCGCAAGGAUGCUGGCGUAAUGGUCAUCAGCGACCCGUCUUGAAACACGGACCAAGGAGUCGUCUUCGUAUGCGAGUGUUCGGGUGUCAAACCCCUACGCGUAAUGAAAGUGAACGCAGGUGAGAGCUUCGGCGCAUCAUCGACCGAUCCUGAUGUUCUCGGAUGGAUUUGAGUAAGAGCAUACGGGGCCGGACCCGAAAGAAGGUGAACUAUGCCUGUAUAGGGUGAAGCCAGAGGAAACUCUGGUGGAGGCUCGCAGCGGUUCUGACGUGCGAAUCGAUCGUCAAAUAUGGGCAUGGGGGCGAAA
rnacentral:rRNA from 1 species